rnacentral:rRNA from 1 species
UACGUAGGGUGCGAGCGUUGUCCGGAAUUACUGGGCGUAAAGAGCUCGUAGGUGGUUUGUCGCGUUGUUCGUGAAAACCGGGGGCUUAACCCUCGGCGUGCGGGCGAUACGGGCAGACUUGAGUACUGCAGGGGAGACUGGAAUUCCUGGUGUAGCGGUGGAAUGCGCAGAUAUCAGGAAGAACACCCGUGGCUAAGGCGGUUCUCUAGUACGGUACUGACGCUGAGACGCGAAAGCGUGGGGAGCGAACAGG